GCACCUGUGGUGGAACUGGCAGACACGCUUGACUUAGGAUCAAGUGCCUUCAGGUUUAAGGGUUCGAGUCCCUUCAGGUGCA
rnacentral:tRNA from 1 species